GAUGAAGAACGUAGCGAAAUGCGAUACGUAAUGUGAAUUGCAGAAUUCAGUGAAUCAUCGAAUCUUUGAACGCAUAUUGCGCUCUCUGGUAUUCCGGAGAGCAUGCUUGUUUGAGUAUCAGUAAACACCUCAACUUCCAUAUCUUUUUUGAAAUGGGAGUUGGACUUGAGUGAUCCCAACGCUUUUCCUCACCGAAAAGUGGCGGGUUACUUGAAAUGCAGGUGCAGCUGGACUUUUCUCUGAGCUAUAAGCACAUCUAUUUAGUCUGCCUAAAAACAGAUUAUUACCUUUGCUGCAGCUAACAUAAAGGAGAUUAGUUCUUGUGCUGACUGAUGCAGGAUUCACAAAGACAGGCUUCGGCCGACUUUGUAAACUCGAUCUCAAAUCAAGUAAGACUACCCGCUGAACUUAAGCAUAUCAAUAAGCGGAGGA
rnacentral:misc_RNA from 1 species